UACGGGGGGGAGCAAGCGUUGUUCGGAUUUACUGGGCGUAAAGGGCGCGUAGGCGGUCAGCACAAGUCAGUUGUGAAAUCUCCGGGCUUAACUCGGAAAGGUCAACUGAUACUGUGCGACUAGAGUGCAGAAGGGGCAACUGGAAUUCUCGGUGUAGCGGUGAAAUGCGUAGAUAUCGAGAGGAACACCUGCGGCGAAGGCGGCCCCCUGGUUGGAUACUGACGCUGAGACGCGAAAGCGUGGGGAGCAAACAGG
rnacentral:rRNA from 1 species